rnacentral:rRNA from 1 species
AGCGAACGCUGGCGGCAGGCCUAACACAUGCAAGUCGAACGAACUCUUCGGAGUUAGUGGCGGACGGGCGAGUAACACGUGGGAACGUGCCUUUAGGUUCGGAAUAACUCAGGGAAACUUGUGCUAAUACCGAAUGUGCCCUUCGGGGGAAAGAUUUAUCGCCUUUAGAGCGGCCCGCGUCUGAUUAGCUAGUUGGUGAGGUAAUGGCUCACCAAGGCUACGAUCAGUAGCUGGUCUGAGAGGAUGACCAGCCACAUUGGGACUGAGACACGGCCCAAACUCCUACGGGAGGCAGCAGUGGGGAAUCUUGCGCAAUGGGCGAAAGCCUGACGCAGCCAUGCCGCGUGGAUGAUGAAGGUCUUAGGAUUGUAAAAUCCUUUCACCGGUGAAGAUAAUGACUGUAGCCGGAGAAGAAGCCCCGGCUAACUUCGUGCCAGCAGCCGCCGUAAAAC